GGACUACAGGGGUAUCUAAUCCUGUUUGCUCCCCACGCUUUCGCACCUCAGCGUCAGUAUCGGCCCAGGUCUCCGCCUUCGCCACUGGUGUUCCUCCCGAUAUCUACGAAUUUCACCUCUACACCGGGAAUUCCGAGACCCUCUUCCGUACUCAAGCCGGCCAGUUUCGGAUGCCCUUCUCGGGUUAAGCCCGAGGCUUUCACAUCCGACAUAGCCGACCGCCUACGUGCGCUUUACGCCCAAUGAUUCCGAGCAACGUUUGCACCCUCCGUAUUACCGCGGCGGCUGGCAC
rnacentral:rRNA from 1 species